rnacentral:rRNA from 1 species
GAUUAAGUUAUUAAGGGCGCACGGUGGAUGCCUUGGCACUAGAAGCCGAUGAAGGACGUUACUAACGACGAUAUGCUUUGGGGAGCUGUAAGUAAGCUUUGAUCCAGAGAUUUCCGAAUGGGGAAACCCAGCAUGAGUUAUGUCAUGUUAUCGAUAUGUGAAUACAUAGCAUAUCAGAAGGCACACCCGGAGAACUGAAAC